CCCUACAAUUAGUUAAAACAACACGCGGCAUUUACCUGUCUGGCAUUAUGAACUCAUCUAAAGGAGAGAUUAAGGUCUGGAGUAGAGGUAGUAGAAAUGAAAGGGGUAGAGCUUUAUGGGAUAAGGGGACUUAAAGGAAAGCUU